CUGGGCCCAGACAACAGAUUUGCAUCCCUGCUCCUCCCUCCUGAGCUGCAGGCAGAGAGGAUAAGACAGGAGCUGGCAGGGCCAGUGCCAGCUGGGCAGCCGCAGGCAGCGCUCAGGACCCUCCCACCAUGGCCUGGCUUCCCUUCUACCUCCUGCCCCUCGUCGUCUCCACAGGUCUCUGUGCUGAUCCUGUGCUCACCCAGUCCCCAUCUGCCUCUGCCGCCCCGGGGGGCACGGUCAAGCUCACCUGCACCCUGAGCUGGGAGCACAGGGGCUAUGACUAUGUUAGGUGGUUUCAACAGAGAGCAGGACAGGCCCCUCGGUUCCUCAUGUACAUUCUCAGCAACGGAAGCCACACCAAGGCGGACGGGAUCCCUGAUCGCUUCUCAGGUUCCAGCUCUGGGGCCGACCGCUACUUAACCAUCUCCAACCUCCGGUCUGAGGAUGAGGCGGAGUACAUCUGUGGAGUGGGCUAUAACAUUGAUGGCAAAUUCGCGGGGUUCCACAGUGACACAGACGAAGGGGAAGUGGGGCUGAAACCUCCCUCCCUCUGUCUGCUCCUCCCGGGGACUCGGGGGACCUGCUGUCUGUCCCCCUCCUGGGUGCUGAGAUGCUGACUCUUUCCUGUCAAAACCCAUCACCCUCCCCCCUGCUCCCCAAGGCGCCACGGGGAAAAGCAAAUGGGGGUCAUGA